rnacentral:rRNA from 1 species
UGGGGAAUUUUGGACAAUGGGCGAAAGCCUGAUCCAGCAAUGCCGCGUGAGUGAAGAAGGCCUUCGGGUUGUAAAGCUCUUUUGUCAGGGAAGAAACGGUGAAAGCUAAUAUCUUUUGCUAAUGACGGUACCUGAAGAAUAAGCACCGGCUAACUACGUGC